UGGAAAGACUUCCAGCUUCAUCACGGAGUCUCUCUCGGUUUGUGUGCUCAUCUAAAGCUGAGUAACAGGAGUCUGGUGGAGCAACAGAGGAACAAUUUCAACCAUUUGGACUCAGCUCAGCCACUACAGAGGAAACAAUGACUUCAACACAAAAGGACCAACAUGGAGCGAGAAGUCAGCGCUCUCAGGAGGCCGACAAACCUCACAGAAGAAAG